ensembl:lncRNA
AGAUGGUCCUGGAUUGGGAGGGGGGGUGCCCAGAUCCAAUGAUGGGUGUCCUCAUGGGAACUGGGGAUGACGCGGAGAUACAGAGGGAGCCAAGGUGGGGAUGGCGGCAGAGACGGGAGCCGUGGGUCUGCAUGCCCAGGAAUGCCUAGGGUCGCCGGCCAGCCCCGGAAGCUGGACGAGGCAGGGACAGGUGUAAGACCUCCGGGAGCCCGGCCAGCUCCCAGCGGUUCCGGACUUCUGCUCACAGCUGGGAGAGAACCGAUUCCUGGUGUUUCUGAGCCGCUCGGGCCAGUCGUCCCGGCCUCCUAGACAGAGGAUUCUCCAGCAAACCCAGUGGACGGAGGGGCUGUGGCUUCAGAGUCUACCAAACCAGUCACUUAGGGGACAGUGGAGAAAACAGGAUGGUUCUCCUACCAGCGUGGACCCCAGAAUGGAGGCCCCCACAGCCUCAGAUGCAGGACAUCAGUGCUGAGACCCAUCCAGAAUGUCUUUGCUCCACGGAGGUGUCAAUUUCCCAUCCAUGGGGUGGAAAUGCUGCGUUCCCGCCCUGCCUGACAACACAAAGCUGCUGGGCGCUGUGAAAAGCCGCUACGUGCGAGGCUGGCGACAACUGUGCACGCAGAGUCUCCGUCAGAUCAUCGCCGACCUGACUCAGCAGAGCAGAGAAGGCACUUCACACACAGCCUUUUUCGUUCUGCGACAGUCUGUUCAUUCCGGUGGUGGCUGGCUUUGAACGGUGCUUGAGGACCCCUGCUGGUCCGGGAUCUGAGAUCCUAGAUGGAAACGCUCACGGGUGUUUAUCCUCGGGCAGUUUUGCUGAAGCACUUGAAACCAAAAGGCAAAGACUGUCUUACAAGUGUUCUGAGGCCGUCAUAACAACUUCCCACACGCUGGGGGCUUAAACCAUCACAAAUUCAUCCUGCCUCAGUUUUAGAGAGCAGACGUCUGGGGUCGGGGAAUCCUGGGGCCGUGGUGCCUUUGGAGACUCCACGGGAGGGUCAUUCCCGCAUCUUCCAGCCUCUGGGGGCUGCAGCUAUCCCGGGCUUAUGGCUGCAUCCCGCCAGCCUCUUUCUCUGUCUUCACACGGCCUCCUCCCCUCCCUGUGGGCCUGUGUCUUCUCCCCUGCCUCUUGUGAGGAUGCCAGUCAUUGCUUUUAGGGCCCACUCAGGUGGUGCAGUGGAGAAGGCAAUGGCACCCCACUCCAGUGCUCUUGCCUGGAAAAUCCCAUGGAUGGAGGAGCCUGGUGGGCUGCAGUCCAUGGGGUCACUAAGAGUCGGACACGACUGAGCGACUUCACUUUCACUUUUCACUCUCAUGCAUUGGAGAAGAAAAUGGCAACCCACUCCAGUGUUCUUGCCUUGAGAAUCCCAGGGACGGGGAGCCUGGUGGGCUGCCGUCUAUGGGGUCGCACAGAGUCGGACACGACUGAAGCAACUUAGCAGCAGCAGCAGCAGCAGGUGGUGCAGUGGUAAAGAAUCUGCCUGCCAGUGCGAGAGACGCCAAAGAGGCAGGUUAGAUCCCUGGGUCGGGAAAAG